rnacentral:lncRNA from 1 species
AACUUAAAAAAAAAUUUGAAUGUAUAUAUAUAUAUAUAUAUUUAUUUAUUAUUUGAUUUUUAGAAGAAAAAAAAUACAAAGUUGAACUCAAUUAUAAAAGAACUCAUUUAUACGUAAAAUUUCAACCAUCAGAUCAAAAUUAAAUAGGUAAGAUUUUAUAAAUUUAUUUUUUUUAUAUAUAUCCGAUCUGUUGGCCAACUCGUAAGACAGCUCGUGUUCGACUCGUCUAUUAACGAGUCAAACACGACCUAAGUUUUUUAAUUCGAUAUUUUAACGAGUCAAUUUGUGUUCGGCUCGUCUAUUAAACAAGCACUCG